UACGUAGGGAGCAAGCGUUGUCCGGAAUCAUUGGGCGUAAAGGGCGCGUAGGCGGUCUGGUAAGUCAAAUGUGAAAUGCACAGGCUUAACCUGUGAGCUGCGUUUGAAACUGUCAGACUGGAGAUCAGGAGAGGAAAGUGGAAUUCCUAGUGUAGCGGUGAAAUGCGUAGAUAUUAGGAAGAACAUCAAUGGCGAAGGCAGCUUUCUGGCCUGAAACUGACGCUGAGGCGCGAAAGCGUGGGGAGCAAACAGG
rnacentral:rRNA from 1 species